CCGCUAUGUGCUAAAAGCAGGGAAAAUCCAGCAAUAAAUAAAACAUAAAAUUCCUGCCAUAAUCCUCGGGAGACAGGCAAAUAAGCAACUGACUGAAGUAGAAAAUCAGGUAGCAGUAAAAGUGAGGAAGGGAUAUGAAGCAGAAGUGGAGUGGAGCAUUCUGAGUGGGGUGGGCUUGGGCGUUAGGGCUUCAGACAGGAGAUCAGGGAAGGAGGUCCUGGGGAGGAGGCCGGAAUGAAGUCCAGGAGAAAGCCACUCUCAUAUCUGGGUGAAGGGCAUUGCAGGCACUAUUUGAGGCUUGGUUUCAUUUUUUAUUUUUAUUUUUUUUGAGAUGGAAUCUCACUCUGUUGCCCAGGCUGGAGUGCAGGGGAACCAUCUUGGCUCAAUGCAACCUCUGCCUCCCGGAUUCAAGCAAUUCUCCUGCCUGAGCCUCCUGAGUUGCUGGGAUUACAGGUGCCUGCCACCAUGCCCCACUAAGUUUUGUAUUUUUAGUAGAGAUGGGGUUUCACCAUGUUGGCCAGGCUGGUCUUGAACUCCUGACCUCAAGUGAUCCACCUGCUUCAGCCUCCCAAAGUGCUGGGAUUACAGGCGUGAGCCACUGCACCUGGCCUCAUCUUUAAUUUUUUAAUGCUGACUUUUCUCUUGCAUAUGGUCUUGCUUACUUUUUGUUGCUACUUAAAAAAACAAAAACAAACUAUUUUUCUUUCACAGGCCUAAUGGAUGUAAAUUUCUGCUCCUAAUUUCCUUUCCCCUAAACAAGGAUGUUUGACUAGCUGAUUCUUCAAAACGUUAACAUGUGUAGUGGCUAUUGUUUUAUUGUUGUUAUAAACUUCACAGGUUUCAAAGCUCUCCCAAACUCAGUAACAAUCUGGCCUAUGCCAUAAAUUCCCUAAUUCAUCCAACAAAUUUUCACAAAAGAGUAAAAUAUAUGCCCUGGCUUUGGAAGAACUUAAAAAUCUAACAGAUAUAUAAUUCUUGGAAAGUUCAGCCAUCCUCUAUGGCUGCGCCCAAUUGCAAGGGAAUUAUUCCUAUUUCUUAGGGUAGUUUUACCAGCGUCUAACUCGGCUGGCACCCAUGUCAUGGUGCUGACAAAGGCAUAUUCACAUCGAGCUAUGGGGAUAUUCAGGGUCAAUAUUGAGACUCAUGGUGGGGAGAAACGUGUGUUCAGUAGGAUUUGAAGGAAGGAUUUAAAAUAAUGUGCUGAGGAUCAGUUUUCAGCAAAAGUACUGUUUUUCACAUUGAACUAAUUUCUUUAGCUUAUAACCACAACACUGAGCAAAAAACACCAAUAACAAAUGCAUAACAAAGACAAAAAGAAGAGAAAAGAAAGACCUCACGAAACUGCAAAGCUUGAUGAUCCUACCAUAUAUAAAAGAACCACUGGGAAUUGUCUAGUCUAGAAAUGAAAAUCAUGAUGCAGGAAUGCAGCUAUGAGUGUCACUUGGAGCUUUGGGAACGGACAUGUGCUAUGCCUUCAGCUUCGAGCAGUUCUUGAACUCCAGCGUGCGUCAGAAUCACAAGGAGGGCCUGUUAAAAUGCAAGUUACUGGCCCCCACACAUGGUUUCUGAUUCACUAGGUUUGGGGCAGGGCCUGGGAAUUUUUAAUUUCUGACAGUUCCUCGAAUACGCUGCUGCUGCUGGAGUCCGUUUUGAGAUAGGGUGCCUUUGAGAAUUCCCAGGUGGCCCAGAUGGGAGAAUCGCUGCUGGGCUUCAGAGGAUGUCCCAGCAGUUAGAAUGUUGUAAGGACACGUCGCAGAAAGCCUUGAAAGCAAAGUGGCCAGGUUGUGACUCUGGUAGGCAAAACAGGCAGGUUCAUCCUCCUGGUAUGCAGCUACUGAGAUGCAAGGUGCUUUUUAAACAUUGUGCAGCUCUUAGAUUGGUGCCCCAGGGAAGGACAGGCCCCAUCAAGGCUAGCCAAGAGCAGAUUGAUUACAUCUGUGGCCAAAGUGUAGGCGAUAAAAUGUCAUCCAUCAGAUUCUCUAAUCACCGGUGAACAUGAAAUAAGGCAAAUCAGCUGAAGAGUCUUUCAGUAAGUAAAAAUAAUAAAAUGCCUAAACUGCUUUCUAUUCUACAAGCUAAGUGGUAUUUAUUUUAGUAAUAAAGAUGCUCUUUAAAUGAAAAUGCAUCAGAUCGAGAGGAUACAUUUGGCCAGUGUGAAUUAAAAGAGUUUAUAUGCAUUCAUUCUGUGAAUUCCAAAACAAAAACUAUUUCUGAUCUUGAAGAAUCUAACCAUGACCAAUGAGGUAUCAUGAAAUUAAAGUUCUACAUUUUCCUCUGUGUAAUAAAUAUGAACUACAUGACAGGUAAUAGGAACUACUUUAUUUACAAACUAUUCAAUGCUUACACUGAAAAACAGUCACCUCCUAUUUCAGGAAAAAGUGUUUCAAACAUGCAGAAAAUUUGGAGAAAGCUCUGAAAAAAUUAUCUAUAUGAUUAGAAUAGCAAGAAAAGCAAACCAUUUGGACAAGCAAGAGAUAUAUGAUGGUUAAUUUUAUGUGUCAACUUGGCAAGGCUAUGGUGCACAGUUGUUUGACCAGUCUAGAUAUUGCUGUGAAAGUAUUUUUCAGAUGUGAUUAGUAUUUGAAUCAGUAGGUUCUGUGUAAGGCAGAGUAGGCUUUGUAAUGCAGGUGAAACUCAUCCAAUCAGUUGAAGGCCUUAAGAGGAAAGACUGAGGUUUCCUGAAGAGGAAGGAAUUCUGCCCUAAGACCGCAACAUAGAAAUCCUGCUUGGAAAUUCAAGGAAUUGGGACUAAAGACUGCAAGAUCAACUCUUAGCAGAACUUCCAGGCUGACUGCUUGCUUUAUGGAUUUUGGACUUGCCAGCCCCACAAUUAUGUAAGCCAAAUUAAAAUCUCUCUCUUCCUGUCUCUCUGUUUGCCUCCAACAUAUCCAUCGGUUCUGUUUCUCUCUCUCUCGCUUUGCCUCCAACAUAUCCAUCAGUUGUGCUUCUCUCUCUCUCUCUCUCUCUCUUUGCGUCCAACAUAUCCAUUUGUUUUGUUUCUCUGGAGAAUCCUAAUACAACAUACAUCAAUGACAAGACGAAUUAGCUGCAGUUGUUUGACUUCAGACUGUCUUUUGUGUGACUUGGUGAACCAAACAGUAAUUUCUGACUGCUUGAGAGUAAUUUAAUUUUCCCGUUAACGUUAAUCAUCUCCACCCUUUACUUAUUGAAAAGCAGAGAUACUUAUUUGCUAUAUACUGCUGAUAUUUUUGUGAAACAGGCGCACUUGUGACUUCUAUAAUUUCUUUGGCUUGGAAGCUACAAAGAAAGGUGAAUUUAUGAUUCUUCAGUGAUUUGAUUUGUUUGAGUCAGAGAUUGGGUCAUCCAUGAAUACCCGGCUUCCUCCAGUUAGUUCAUGUUGUUUGCAGCCUUAAGUGUAGAUACACCAAGUAAUUAUUCUGAGCAGAAAGUGAUGGCUCAUAGUCCUGAGACAGGAACAGCAUGUACAGGGGCUGUCAUUCUGCAUAACUCCUGAGAUUGUGCAGUGUGGUGUCCUCAAUCAGUUAUGAUAACUGAAUGGAAAAAAGCUUUAAAAUUACAUGUCUCUUUACACUGGGAGCUAAUGUGCUGAAAUAAAAGUUACAAGAUGGGGAAGAAAUGUAUUGAUUGUCUACUCUGCACAAGAAUGUACUAUGCUAGGUAAUUUGGUUAUAUAAUCUUAUAUGAUUUUUAAACAUGUUUGUACAGCAGAUAUUGUUGUUAUCCCCAUUUUGUCCAUAAGAAAAAGAGGGUCUAGGAUAUUAAGUGACCUGCCAAAGUCAAGCUGUGAGUAAAUGGAGGAAUGUGGAUUUAAGUCAUAUUUUAUUCCAAAGCCUGUCCUCUUUUCCUACACUGGAUCGCCUCUUGGUUAAAGUCAGCACUCUAAAAGCCUAAACAUAGUUUUAAGGCCUUUGGUUCAAUUGAUGGAAAUGUGAUCCUGAUUUUUCACAGUUGGCACCUUUUCUGGCCAUUGGUCUGAAAAUAAGGCUACAGUAGGUGAAUCUAACAUUUCUUAUCAUUUUUACAUCUUUAGGGACCCAAAUUUGAAAUACUUAGUUGCUUAAGUUUCCAGAAUCAAGGCAUCAGUGGUCCAAGCCAUCAAGAUACUAGAUUAGUAUCAUUUGCUCUGAGAAACUGGCAAAGAUUUCUCAGAAUCUUGGGAUUUCUUCUGACUUGAUAUUCUCUGAACCUAUGUUACUGUCCUACAAACUAUUCAUUUAUUUGCUCCUUUUUCUUUCAUUCAAUACAUAUUCAGUACUUACACCAAAAUUCUGUAUCUUGAGCUGAAGAAAGUACAAAGAUGAAUUAGCUAUAGUUCCUACCUUUAAAAUACUUUCAAUCAGCCUGGCCGUGGUGGUUCAUACCUGUAAUCCCAGCACUUUGGGAGGCUGAGGCAGAGGGAUCACCUAAGAUCAGGAGUUUGAGACCAGCCUGACCAACAUGGUGAAACUUUGUCCCUACUAAAAAUACAAAAUUAGCCGGGCAUGGUGGCACAUGCCUGUAAUCCCAGCUACUUGGGAGGCUGAGGCAGGAGAAUAGCUUGAACCCGGGAGGUGGAGGUUGCAGUGAGCCGAGAUCACGCCGUUGCACUCUAGCCUGGGCAACAAGAGUGAAACUCCAUCUCAAAAAAACAAAACAAAACAAAAUACUUUCAAUCUACAGGGAAAGUUCUACUAAAUAAGUAGAAUACAGAGUACGGAGUGACAAGUGGCUUUUGGUGUUUUGCCACAAAGCAGCACCCGCAAAUGAGUUCUCUAAAAAGGCUGGUAGGAAUGGUUACUGAUGAAGUGGUGCAUAAGGCUAGCCACGAGGUCUCUAUCACUAUUAUGAUGAUGACAGUGAUUAUAACACAAGAUAGACUGAACGAUUAGGAAAGCACGUGUGUGUAACAAUAUUUAGAUUUUUUUCCUUGUGGCUCAGAAUGAAAGGAAAGAGAGCAAUAACGACAGUGGGUUUCACUUUGUAAUUAAGUAUAAUUUGCAUGUAGUGUGAAAGGAAAACAAAAACUAAUUGUGUGCACACUUUUAACCUAAUAAGUUUAGUCAACUUCUAAUUGUUUGAUUAUUUAAUCAAAUUGGAUAAUGAGGGGAUAAAGGGGAACGAUAAAAACAAGUUAUUCUGGAAGACUGAAGAGGUGCAUAGAAUCAUAUAAUUCCAGGAUAGUGAAGUAGAAAAUGAAUUUUAGGGUGAGUCCCUUCCCUGGCCCCGCCACACACAUACUUAUUUUGCAGACGAGGAUUGUAAUACUUUGGGUGGAGACUCAUUUGUCCACGUGUGAUAUGGUUGGCUGGUGGAAGAAAUUCAUAUAGAAUUGAAUUCUAUAUGAGGAAUAUAGAGGAAGCUUUAGGGAUGGGACUUGUAAAACUGUUUCUCCUUCCCCAACUGUCAUGUAUUCCACCUAAAAUGUCAGGAGUUAUUGUAAUAACAAGCAACUUGAGAAUGAAGAAGAGAGUCGAUUCAAUUCCCCUAUAGUGAAAACAGAGAGUCACCAUUGCAGUGAGCGUAAAGAAAAUGAUUCUCCUUGAAUCAAUAGAUAAAGGUUACCUGGGAGUGGCAAUGAGGGAGGGAAGGAGCCAGGAGCCAGUUCAUUUGGGGCUGAGGGAGUCCCAGGGAUCUCUUGGAAGAGAUACUGAGCAUAUGUGGUUAAUCGACGAUUAUCUGAAAUUUUUCACUCACACUUUUUUUUUUUUUUUUUUUUUUUGGAGAUGGAGUCUUGCUGUAUCACCCAGAUUGGAGUGCAGUGGUACCAUCUCAGUUCACUGCAACCUCUGUCUGCCUCCCGGCUUCAAGCGGUCCUCCUGCCUCAGCCUCCCGAGUAGCUGGGAUUACAGGCACCUGCCACCACGCCUGGCUCAUUUUUUAUGUUUUUGGUAGAGAUGGGGUUUCACCAUGUUGGCCAGGCUGGUCUCAAACUCCUGACCUGAAGUGAUCCACUCUCUGUGGCCUCUGAAAGUGCUGAGAUUACAGGCAUCAGCCGCUGCAUCUGGCCAUUCACGCUUUUGAAUGCAAGAACAAUUAAGCAUAAAAAAGGUAGUUUUUAUUUUAUCUUAGGGAGGCUCAUAAACCUUUGGUAGUUGUGUUUAAGGCAUUGUUCAUAGAAAAAUUAGAAAACUUUGUUACUGGAAGUUUUGUAAGCUACUUUGUGAUUUGUAAGUUUUGCACUGUGCAUUUGUCGUUUCAGGUUUCAUAAGCUAGAUACUUGUCAAUACAUUAGGAAAUGACUUUAUAAGAAUUUCAGAUAUGAGAAAAGCUCUUCAGAAAUUAUUACUUACUUGAGUUUUGCACUUUGGGAUUAGAUAGCCUUAACCUUGGUUAAUAUUAUGUCACCUGUCUCUACAACUUGGUUAAAGUUUGAGUAUACACAAUUUUUUGAUGUAAAGGGAUUCACAGUCGUGUCAGAAGAGGCUUUCUCCAUUCAGCUAAGGUUAUUAACCAUAUUUCAAGUCUGCUAAUUUGGAGGGAAAAACAUUUGUUCAUAAUUGUAGUCUAAUAUUUUCCAGUUAGCACCAGGAACGAAACGUAGGCUAGUCUGAAUUUGCAAACAAGUUGUCGUCCGAAUGUUCACUUUCAAAUCUGCUCUUUGGAACUCUGAAAUCAUUUUCUCACAGACGGCAAAAACUACCAUGGUAGCUAGAUUGCCAAGUCUGUUCACAAAGUCUAUUUUAAACCAUCACAUAUGUAAAGUUUAAUUGUUCUAGUUCUUUGUAACUUGAGCGGCAGGUGCCACAAGAACUUGAUGGCAAAGCAAGCAUAGUUCCUCGAAUGUAAAGGAACACAUCUCAUUGUCCAGGCCGGGGAUGUGUCCAGAGAAAGUGACAGAGGGCUGGAGUGGGCUUGCCAAUGAAAACCCCCCUUUGUCAGUCUCCUUUUUAUUUCAAGCCCCUGUUAUUGGCUCUCUUGCUUCCCUUUUCCCACUGUAGCAGAUAUUUCUGACAAGGUUCUAUCUCCUCUUGGAUCCAAAACAGGAGGAUAUAUAUGAAAACCCAGACAACAGCAGUCCCCAUUUAUCCAUGGUUUCACUUUCUCCGGUUUCAGUUACCUGUGGUCAACCGUGGUCUGAAAAUAGUGAGUACAGUCAAGAUAUUCUGAGAGAGAGUCCACAUUCCUAUAACUUUUAUUACAGCAUCUUGUUAUAAUUGUUUUAUUAUUAGUUACUAUUGUUAAUCUCUUGCUGUGCCUAAUUAUAAACUAAACUUUAUCAUAUGAUGUAUGUAUAGGAGGAAACAUAGUAUACACAGGGUUUGGUACUAUCCGUAGUUUCAGGCACCCACUGUGGGUCACGGAAUAUGUUCCCCUUUGGAAAAUGGGGGACUAAUGUAUACUGUUUUGGGUAUUUUCUAAUCAUUUUGGAAAACAGAGAGAAACAAGUAUGUGGCUAUGAAAUCAAUCUUUCUAGUCCAUAUCUCUAUCUUGCUUUUUGAAAAACAAAACCACAUUCAGUAAUAAUGGUGAUGAAUAAAGUUUUAUCUACAUUUCUGAGGGCCACCUGACACAGAGAGCCCUAAACAUAUCAUCGCUAGAGCUCAAGGAUGUGCAGGUGCUGGAGGACGGGAGCAGCAGGGCUGGACACUCCUUGAGUAGUGGUGUCGGGGAUGGGGCAUGAGAGAGGGGCAGGCUUGGGAAUUUAACCUCUCCUCUGCCACAUACAGCCCAUUCCAUAUAAUGAUCAUUCUUCCUGUGUAUAUUUAAGACUUGAAUUAGUUUGAGGGUUAGAGGAUAGUCCUAGGCACCAGAAGAUGGAGUUGAAAGAUAAAGAAAAGUGGCUGUAGUUUUUUUCUGGUCACUUCCAGGAUGCCUGGGCCAUAAACAAAUUGGGAAAGAUGGACAGGUCACAGUCUCUCUCCUAUAUGGGCACAGAAGCAUGAAUAACUCAUUUCAACAUAUGAAGUAAGUAUAGGUAAGGUGCUUUUUAUAAGAAUACAGAGUAGAGGCCCUUAAUCUUCCAGGGAAAGGGCAUUAAAACAUGCUUCCUGGCUUUGUGAGUCCAAGGCAGGUGGAUCACAAGGUCAGGAUAUCGAGACCAUCCUGGCUAACACAGUGAAACCCCAUCUCUACUAAAAAUAUAAAAAAUUAGCCGGGCAUGGUGGCAGGCACCUGUAGUCCCAGCUACUUGGGAGGUGGAGGCAGGAGAAUGGCGUGAACCCGGGAGACAUAGCUUGCAGUCAGCCGAGAUCACGCCACUGCACUCCAGCCUGGGCGACAGAGCAAGACUCCAUCUCAAAAACAAACAAACAAACAAAUAAACAAACAAACUUCCUGGAGAAGAUACCAGAUACCACUUGCAGGGGAUUUUAUCAUCUUGUGUAUAUGUGGAGGGAGAGAAAAAGGGUAUUUGUGCCAGGAGGUGGGAUACAGCCUGGCUUCCGUGUGAGUAAUAUGUGUGUGGUUGAAGGUUGGGCAUGAGAAGUUCCAUGUUGCUGGAGUUUCAGAUAUAUUAUGGGGCAAGCGGUAAAAAACUAAACUAGUGAUAUAGGCGGUGCCAGCUCAUUCAGGGCCAUGAGCCACACACAAGGUAAAUAUUAUUCUUUAGAGGAUAGGGUCCUACUGAAAUUUAAACAUGUGACAUUGAGAGAUUUGCAUUUUGGAUGGAUGAUUUGGGAAAUGUGUUGGAAGUAGAUUUAGGGAUGACAAACUGGAAAGGAUACCAGUUAGAAGGUUGUUGCUAGAGUCCAUAAGAAAGAUGAUGAACACUUUUUGACGACCAUCUUUAGAAUAUUAAUAGGAAUGGAGGGCAUGGUUUUAAAUGUAAAGUGUUUAGGUCCUUCUGGUUAGAAAAUCACAGAAGAAGCAGAUUCACCUAUCUUAAAGCCCUCUCAAAACACAUUAUAGUGAAGAAGGAAGAAAGAAAGAAAAUGAAUACAUGAGAAAAAAAUGGAAGCGAAGGUAACAGGAAGACACAGAUGUAAUGCAAACCAUAUCAAUAGCAUUAUUUCUCUGGAAAGUAGGUGGACUGUUGGCAGCUAUGCUAAAGGCUGCAGAGAGCUGUAUUCUCAACCUUCUUGAGGAGGGCAGUGGGGAUGGGAAGUCAGUAAGAGGGAAGCAUAUUCUUUGAGCUGGAAAACGGAAAGUGCUCAGAAAUUGGAGGCAGCAGCCGCUCUGGAAGGUGGUGACAGGCAUAGGGAGAUGAAAAGAGAAGUGACUUUAUAUGUAGCACUAAGAUUCGUAGAUCUCCAACCCCAGGCUGCACAGUCGAUUUCCUGUCCGCCAAUUCAACAGGAGACAGGAAGUUUACUCUCUGGAGACACUAAUCAGAUAGGUUGUGGACCCAAGGAUGUUGGGCAGAGCUGAGGGCAGGAUGAGGUGCAAUGGGGGAAAUAUCAGUGCAAUACCAUUAAGAAGGUUGUUGCACGAGUCCCUAGGAAAGAUGAUGAAGACCUUUUGAAGACCAUCGUUAUAUGUUAAUAGGAAUGGAGGGUAUGGCUUUAGAUGUAAAAAGUGUUUAGGUCCUUCUGGUUAGAAAUCACAGAAUAAGCAGAUUCACCUAUCUUAGAGCCCUCUCAAAACACAUUAUAGCGAAAAUGGAAGAAAGAAAGAAAAAAACGGAAUACAUAAAGUAAAAAAUGGAAGCAAAGGUAACAGGAAGACACAGAAGUAACACAAACCUUUCACUUGCUCUUUCACAGAGCAUUUGAGAAACUUCUCAAACAGAGCUGGGUCUCAACCAGAUCACCAGCCACCAGGAAACACGUUUUAGAGUGUUCCCUUCCAGCCCCACUUCAACACAAGCAUUAGUCAAUUUUCAGUGACUUAUCUUUACAUAGAAACAUAUAGCCAGAGCUCACCAGGUAUAUAAGGAAAGUCCCUAACACGAAAGGAUUUGUUGCUGAUGGUGUUGGGUGAGGUAAGGAGGGUAAACGAAAGCUGAACAAAUUCUAGUAUAAGUGAUCAAUCCAAGUGAAUUGCUAGAUUAGGCAACAGGAAGGAGAAUCUAGAAAAGGGGCAAGUAUCUUGUGGGGAGACAUGAGGAGGAAAAAGAAAGUGAGUUGCACUUUAGAUAUUAUGGGUUUGGAGGUGAAUGUAGCCACAGGAUGACUGGAUCCAGCUGCAUAUGGACUCUCUCUUUUUCCUCCGACUUCAGUCUCUGAGACCAGCUUUUCCAUACAAUGGGGGAUAUGGCUGGAGACAUAUUGGGAAUUAAGUCCUUUAGUCUGUGAUCAGAAACUAAAAUAGUCUUUCUUGAUGAGUCUGAAGAAUUUUAGUGACAUUAAGAUGAUCCUGGCCAGAUCAAAUGACGCCUCUGUG
rnacentral:lncRNA from 10 species